ensembl:lncRNA
AUGGCCCAUGACCUCCUAUCCCUCCAUCUUCUCCUCCUCAGUCGCCCAACACAUCCCAUCCCUCCUUCUUGUGCUCCUCAAUUGCCAACAACCUCCCAUCCUUCCAUCCUCUCCUUUUCCAUCACCCAUGACAUCCCAUCCCUCCUUCUUGUACUCCUCUAUCACCCACCGCCUUCUGUCCCUCCUUCCUCUGCUCCUUCAUGGCCCACUGCCUCCCAUCCCUCUGUUUUCUCCUCCUCCAUUGCCCACCACAUCCCAUCCCUCUUUCUUGUGCUCCUUCAUCACUCACCAUAUCAUAUCUCUUUCCUCUGCUCCUCCAUCACCCACAAGGUCCCAUCCCUCCAUCGUCUCCUUCUCCAAUGCCCACCACAUCCCAUCCCUCCUUUCUGUGCUCCUUCAUCAGCCACUCACAUCCCUCCCUCCUCUGCUCCUCCAUCACCCAUCUCUCCAUCGCUCCAUCCUCUCCUCCUCCAUCGCCCAUGUUUCAUCCCUCCUUCCCGUGCUCCUCCAUCACCCACCACAUCCCAUCUCUCCCUGCUCUGCUCCUGCAUUGCCCACCACAUCCAUCCCUCCCUGCUGUGCUCCUCCAUCACCCACCACAUCCAUCUCUCCCCCCUGUGCUCCUCCAUCACCCACCACAUCCAUCCCUUCCUUCUGUGUUCCUGCAUUGCCCACAGCGUCCCACCCCCUGUUCAUCUGUCACCAUCCCUUCAUCUCUUCUGUUCCUCCUCCAUCCCCUUCCCAUCCCUUCCAACCUCCUGCUUCACCUUCAGCUUCUUUUCUUCCUCCUGUUCCUCCAGUUGUCAACAUCUCACUAUCCCUUCUCAUCUUCCAUCAGCUCCCACCAUCCCCUCAUCCCUCCUCUUCUUCUCUACAUCUUAUCCUCUUCCUAUCUUUUCUCAUCCUUCAUCAACUUCCAUCAACAACCCAACCCUCUGUAACCUGUGCCACUUCUCAUUCUUCCCCAUUUUUUCAUCCUCUKCUAUCUCCUAUCUCAUCCCUUUCAUCCUUCUCCACUUCCCUCCAUCUCAAAAUCCAUCCUCACCUUCCCACCAUUUCCCAUCCCUCCAUGUCCUUCUCCACUUCCCAUCUCCCACCCAUCUUUAUGUUUUUCCACCUACCAUCUCCUCAUCCCUCCUCUUCUUUCUCCAUUUCCCCAUACUUUCUUGUCCUCCUUCACCUGCCAUGAUUUCCUCAUCUCUACUAUCAUCCUCUUCCAUCCAUCAUCAUUUCACCAAACUUCCUCAUCCUCCUCCACCUCCCACUGUUCCCCAUCCUUCCCCAUGCCCCAACACCUCCCACUAUUGGCCUGUUCCUCAUCAUCAUCCGCUUCCCACCAUCUGUCCAUUCCUUCUCUUUCACCUCCAACCUCACACUCUUUUCCUCUUCAUCCUCCUGCACUUUGCGUCACCUUCCAUCUCGCCUCGUCCUCCUCCAUCUCUCACCAUCUCRUCAUCCCUCCUUUUCUUCCUCCAUCUCAGUCUCCCUACUCCUCCUUGUCUUCUGUCAUCUUCCAUCAUCUUCCCAUCCCUCCUGUCAUUCUCCUUCACUUGCCAUCAUUUCCCCAACAUUCCUCAGCCUUUUCCACCUCCCGGCAUUCCCCAUCCCUCCUCAUGCUCCAUCACCUCUUGCCAUUUCCCUUUCCCUCCUCAUCUUCAGCCUCCCAUAACCCCCCCGUCCUCCUCAGUGUUCUCUACCUCCCACCCUCUCCUUAUUCCUUCUCAUAAUCCUCCACCUCUCCCCAUCUCCCCAUCCCUCCUUCUCCUCCAAGUAUCUCACCUACCUCACGGAUUUCCCACUCACCCCUUCUCAUUUCCCAUCUUACUGAUCUCUAGCUAUCCUACCUCACCACACAUCUCCUCCUCUCACCUCCCUUUCAUUCUCCUUCACCUCUCAACUCUACCCCUCCCCUCCCAUCUCCCAGCCUGCUCUCCUGCCAUCCUUCCUGUCCUCUGUCCUYCCUGUACUCUCUUAUUCCCAGCAUGUCUGACUCCUGCUGUUGUUAUCUCCCUCUCUCCCUGCUUUGUAUCCCAUCUCUUACCAACCCAGUAA